GAUGGCUCAUUCAAAUUUCUUCCCUAUCAACUUUCGAUGUUUGGGUAUUGGCCAAACAUGGUGGCAACGGGUAACGGAGGGUUAGGGCUCGACCCCGGAGAAGGAGCCUGAGAAACGGCUACUACAUCCAAGGAAGGCAGCAGGCGCGCAAAUUACCCAAUCCCGACACGGGGAGGUAGUGACAAUAAAUACUGAUACAGGGCUCUUUUGGGUCUUGUAAUCGGAAUGAGUACAAUUUAAAUCCCUUAACGAGGAACAAUUGGU
rnacentral:rRNA from 1 species